ensembl:lncRNA
UGUGCCCGUGCGCAUGCGCACUGGGAAAGAAAAUGGACUCAAUGGGAGGACUUGCGCAGAUACCAGGACCCUCUGCUCUGAGCCACAAUGAAGAACUUUCCCAGACUAGGCAAGCCCAGGGCUCAUUGGAAAUAUGCUAAUGACCCUGCCAGACUCCAGCAUGAUGAGCAAUUUGGAACGCUGCCCUCUUGCCCACUGUGAUGGAGUGACUAUGCGGUCAGAGGUGUGGAGAGAAGAGAGGGCACAGGAGGACCAGUGAGGAGAGAGGAGAGUGUCAAUAGAACCCAUCAGCUACAUCCAAGACGCAUGGUGGAUUAUCUUGUUAAUGAUACAAAAUGAUUUUAUCCCUUCCUUCCCUGGACCCCUAAGGCAAGAACUGAGCUUCACUCUGCUAGAAGGUCAAUCGUUGGAAAUUGCUCAAAAGGAGUAAGGGAUUUAGUGCUGUAAAACAUUCAUGUAAGUUAACUGGAAGUGUAAAUCAAGAACCAGCAAAAAUAAACUGCUACAGUGCUGCUUCCCUGAUUGAAAUAUCAUCAUUAAUGUAGAAUUGACUUAAAUAAUUUUUACGAUCUUUCUUCUCUCAGGUAAUCAACAGUUGUUUCUUAAGAGAUAAAUUGUAUUCUUUUUGAAAUUAUUUGGGGAGGGGCAUAGCAUCAGGCAAGUAGUUCAAAAAAACAGUAAAUGAGUGACAG